GCGGUCGUGGUGGAAUUGGUAGACACGCUACUUUGAGGGGGUAGUGGGCGUACGCCUGUGUCGGUUCGAGUCCGACCGACCGCA
rnacentral:tRNA from 1 species